CCCUUAGAUGUUCUGGGCUGCACGCGUGCUACACUGAUUACUUCAACAAGUGUUUUAACUGGAGAGUUCGCGUAAUCCUGAAAUGUUAUCGUGAUGGGAGUAGAGUAUUGUAUUUGUUAAUCUUUAACGAGGAAUUCCUAGUAAGUGUAGGUUUAUAAGUUGUUCUGAUUACGUCCCUGCCCUUUGUACACACCGCCCGUCGCUCCUACCGAUUGAUUGAUCCGGUGAAUUACAUAGAAUUUUGCGUUUUACAUGACGGAAGAUGAAGUGCUUUAAACCUUAUCAUUUAGAGGAAGGAGAAGUCGUAACA
rnacentral:rRNA from 1 species